GGGGAGAUUGCUUCGGUAAUUGACCUAGCGGCGGACGGGUGAGUAAUACUUAGGAAUCUGCCUAUUAAUGGGGGACAACAUCUCGAAAGGGAUGCUAAUACCGCAUACGCCCUACGGGGGAAAGCAGGGGAUCACUUGUGACCUUGCGUUAAUAAAUGAGCCUAAGUCGGAUUAGCUAGUUGGUGGGGUAAAGGCCUACCAAGGCGACGAUCUGUAGCGGGUCUGAGAGGAUGAUCCGCCACACUGGGACUGAGACACGGCCCAGACUCCUACGGGAGGCAGCAGUGGGGAAUAUUGGACAAUGGGGGGAACCCUGAUCCAGCCAUGCCGCGUGUGUGAAGAAGGCCUUAUGGUUGUAAAGCACUUUAAGCGAGGAGGAGGCUCCUGUGGUUAAUACCUACAGUGAGUGGACGUUACUCGCAGAAUAAGCACCGGCUAACUCUGUGCCAGCAGCCGCGGUAAUACAGAGGGUGCGAGCGUUAAUCGGAUUUACUGGGCGUAAAGCGUGCGUAGGCGGCUUUUUAAGUCGGAUGUGAAAUCCCCGAGCUUAACUUGGGAAUUGCAUUCGAU
rnacentral:rRNA from 1 species